rnacentral:snRNA from 1 species
AGAGUUUUUUGUGUACAUAACCC